rnacentral:snRNA from 1 species
AUACCUUUCUCGGUCUUUUGGCUAAGAUCAAGUGUAAUAUCGGUUCUUAUUAUUUUAUUAUCUGAUACGUGGGUCAUGAGCCUACGAUGAUAUUAAAUUUAUUUUCAUUACUAGCAAAAAUGACCGUGC